AAUGGGUCAGCGACUUAUAUUCUGUAGCAAGGUUAACCGUAUAGGGGAGCCGCAGGGAAACCGAGUCUUAAUUGGGCGUUAAGUUGCAGGGUAUAGACCCGAAACCCGGUGAUCUAGCCAUGGGCAGGUUGAAGGUUGGGUAACACUAACUGGAGGACCGAACCGACUAAUGUUGAAAAAUUAGCGGAUGACCUGUGGCUGGGGGUGAAAGGCCAAUCAAACCGGGAGAUAGCUGGUUCUCCCCGAAAGCUAUUUAGGUAGCGCCUCGUGAAUUCAUCUCCGGGGGUAGAGCACUGUUUCGGCUAGGGGGCCAUCCCGGCUUACCAACCCGAUGCAAACUGCGAAUACCGGAGAAUGUUAUCACGGGAGACACACGGCGGGUGCUAACGUCCGUCGUGAAGAGGGAAACAACCCAGACCGCCAGCUAAGGUCCCAAAGUCAUGGUUAAGUGGGAAACGAUGUGGGAAGGCCCAGACAGCCAGGAUGUUGGCUUAGAAGCAGCCAUCAUUUAAAGAAAGCGUAAUAGCUCACUGGUCGAGUCGGCCUGCGCGGAAGAUGUAACGGGGCUAAACCAUGCACCGAAGCUGCGGCAGCGACACUGUGUGUUGUUGGGUAGGGGAGCGUUCUGUAAGCCUGCGAAGGUGGCCUGUGAGGGUUGCUGGAGGUAUCAGAAGUGCGAAUGCUGACAUAAGUAACGAUAAAGCGGGUGAAAAGCCCGCUCGCCGGAAGACCAAGGGUUCCUGUCCAACGUUAAUCGGGGCAGGGUGAGUCGACCCCUAAGGCGAGGCCGAAAGGCGUAGUCGAUGGGAAACGGGUUAAUAUUCCCGUACUUGGUGUUACUGCGAAGGGGGGACGGAGAAGGCUAUGUUGGCCGGGCGACGGUUGUCCCGGUUUAAGCGUGUAGGUGUGUGUUCCAGGUAAAUCCGGUUCACUUUAACACUGAGGCGUGAUGACGAGGCACUACGGUGCUGAAGCAACAAAUGCCCUGCUUCCAGGAAAAGCCUCUAAGCAUCAGGUAACAUCAAAUCGUACCCCAAACCGACACAGGUGGUCAGGUAGAGAAUACCAAGGCGCUUGAGAGAACUCGGGUGAAGGAACUAGGCAAAAUGGUGCCGUAACUUCGGGAGAAGGCACGCUGACACGUAGGUGAAGUGAUUUACUCACGGAGCUGAAGUCAGUCGAAGAUACCAGCUGGCUGCAACUGUUUAUUAAAAACACAGCACUGUGCAAACACGAAAGUGGACGUAUACGGUGUGACGCCUGCCCGGUGCCGGAAGGUUAAUUGAUGGGGUCAGCGCAAGCGAAGCUCCUGAUCGAAGCCCCGGUAAACGGCGGCCGUAACUAUAACGGUCCUAAGGUAGCGAAAUUCCUUGUCGGGUAAGUUCCGACCUGCACGAAUGGCGUAAUGAUGGCCAGGCUGUCUCCACCCGAGACUCAGUGAAAUUGAACUCGCUGUGAAGAUGCAGUGUACCCGCGGCAAGACGGAAAGACCCCGUGAACCUUUACUAUAGCUUGACACUGAACAUUGAGCCUUGAUGUGUAGGAUAGGUGGGAGGCUUUGAAGUGUGGACGCCAGUCUGCAUGGAGCCGACCUUGAAAUACCACCCUUUAAUGUUUGAUGUUCUAACGUGGACCCGUGAUCCGGGUUGCGGACAGUGUCUGGUGGGUAGUUUGACUGGGGCGGUCUCCUCCUAAAGAGUAACGGAGGAGCACGAAGGUUGGCUAAUCCUGGUCGGACAUCAGGAGGUUAGUGCAAUGGCAUAAGCCAGCUUGACUGCGAGCGUGACGGCGCGAGCAGGUGCGAAAGCAGGUCAUAGUGAUCCGGUGGUUCUGAAUGGAAGGGCCAUCGCUCAACGGAUAAAAGGUACUCCGGGGAUAACAGGCUGAUACCGCCCAAGAGUUCAUAUCGACGGCGGUGUUUGGCACCUCGAUGUCGGCUCAUCACAUCCUGGGGCUGAAGUAGGUCCCAAGGGUAUGGCUGUUCGCCAUUUAAAGUGGUACGCGAGCUGGGUUUAGAACGUCGUGAGACAGUUCGGUCCCUAUCUGCCGUGGGCGCUGGAGAACUGAGGGGGGCUGCUCCUAGUACGAGAGGACCGGAGUGGACGCAUCACUGGUGUUCGGGUUGUCAUGCCAAUGGCACUGCCCGGUAGCUAAAUGCGGAAGAGAUAAGUGCUGAAAGCAUCUAAGCACGAAACUUGCCCCGA
rnacentral:rRNA from 1 species